GUCCACGCCCUAAACGAUGCUGACUAGUUGUUCGGGAUUUACAUCCUGAGCAACGUAGCUAACGCGUGAAGUCAGCCGCCUGGGGGAGUACGGUCGCAAGAUUAAAACUCAAAGGAAUUGACGGGGACCCGCACAAGCGGUGGAUGAUGUGGAUUAAUUCGAUGCAACGCGAAAAACCUUACCUACCCUUGACAUAUCACUAACGAAGUAGAGAUACAUUAGGUGCUCGUAAGAGAAAGUGAACACAGGUGCUGCAUGGCUGUCGU
rnacentral:rRNA from 1 species